rnacentral:rRNA from 1 species
CACGUAGGGGGCAAGCGUUGUCCGGAAUCAUUGGGCGUAAAGAGCUCGUAGGCGGUUUGUCGCGUCUGCUGUGAAAACCCGAGGCUCAACCUCGGGCCUGCAGUGGGUACGGGCAGACUAGAGUGCGGUAGGGGAGAUUGGAAUUCCUGGUGUAGCGGUGGAAUGCGCAGAUAUCAGGAGGAACACCGAUGGCGAAGGCAGAUCUCUGGGCCGUAACUGACGCUGAGGAGCGAAAGCGUGGGGAGCGAACAGG